rnacentral:lncRNA from 1 species
UUCAUUUGUCUCUUUCGUUUCUCGCGCUAGUUCUGCGAUUAAGGUUUUUGUAUCACAGAUUCUCAUUGAAUUUGUGAUAUUGUGAUAUCUAGUUGUUCUUGAGAGAUUAUCAUGCUAAUAAUCUCUGUGAGUGUUAGAUUAGUUGUGUUGAUCGUUUAUUGUUACAAAAUACUUUGAUUUGGGAAUUAAGUCAUUUAGGGUUGGGUAUUAUGUUGAUCUUUACUUGAUAUUAUGUUAUUUUGACAUGGUAUUUGGGUUAGGAUAUCAUGUUCCAUUGAUUGUUGAUCUUUACUUGAAGCCUCUCAUACCUUGAUUCCAUUAGGCUAUGCGGUAUGGUAAUGGUCUCCUUUGGAAGAUAAUCCGCCAUGUAGGCGCCACAUCAUAGUCCCUUAGAGGAUGAUCUGACAUGGUAAAACACUCGAAAUGGGAGGAUGAUCCUACCCCACCAAGUUUACUUUUUUUUUUUAAUUCAUCUACUUUUUUUUUAGCAUUUAUUAAAUAAGAUAGAAAAAUAAAUUCAUUAAUAUUAAACAACAAAACAUUACAUAAGUUAAAAAAACAUA